rnacentral:rRNA from 1 species
GUGACAAGAAAUAACAAUACAGGACUUUAACAGUUUUGUAAUUGGAAUGAGUUGAGUAUAAACCCCUUUACAAGUAUCAAUUGGAGGGCAAGUCUGGUGCCAGCAGCCGCGGUAAUUCCAGCUCCAAUAGCGUAUAUUAAAGUUGUUGCAGUUAAAAAGCUCGUAGUUGGAUUUCUGUUAAUAAUUUAUAUAUAAUAUUUAACAUAUUUAUAUAAUAUUAACAUAAUUCAUAUUACUAUUUAUAGUAUAUGAAAUUUUACUUUGAGAAAAUUAGAGUGCUUAAAGCAGGCUUUUGCCUUGAAUACUAGAGCAUGGAAUAAUAUUAAAGAUUUUUAUCUUUCUUAUUGGUUCUAAGAUAGAAAUAAUGAUUAAUAGGGACAGUUGGGGGCAUUUGUAUUUAACAGUUAGAGGUGAAAUUCUUAGAUUUGUUAAAGACAAACUAAUGCG